rnacentral:rRNA from 1 species
UACGGAGGGGGCUAGCGUUGUUCGGAAUUACUGGGCGUAAAGCGUACGUAGGCGGCUUUGUAAGUUAGAGGUGAAAGCCCAGAGCUCAACUCUGGAAUUGCCUUUAAGACUGCAUCGCUUGAAUCGUGGAGAGGUUAGUGGAAUUCCGAGUGUAGAGGUGAAAUUCGUAGAUAUUCGGAAGAACACCAGUGGCGAAGGCGACUAACUGGCCCGGUACUGACGCUGAGGUGCGAAAGCGUGGGGAGCAAACAGG